rnacentral:rRNA from 1 species
CCAAUGCCCUUCGGGGCUCCUUGGUGAUUCAUGAUAACUUAACGAAUCGCAUGGCCUUGCGCCGGCGAUGGUUCAUUCAAAUUUCUGCCCUAUCAACUUUCGAUGGUAGGAUAGUGGCCUACCAUGGUAUCAACGGGUAACGGGGAAUUAGGGUUCUAUUCCGGAGAGGGAGCCUGAGAAACGGCUACCACAUCCAAGGAAGGCAGCAGGCGCGCAAAUUACCCAAUCCCGACACGGGGAGGUAGUGACAAUAAAUACUGAUACAGGGCUCUUUUGGGUCUUGUAAUUGGAAUGAGUACAAUUUAAAUACCUUAACGAGGAACAAUUGGAGGGCAAGUCUGGUGCCAGCAGCCGCGGUAAUUCCAGCUCCAAUAGCGUAUAUUAAAGUUGUUGCAGUUAAAAAGCUCGUAGUUGAACCUUGGGCCUGGCUGGCCGGUCCGCCUCACCGCGUGUACUGGUCCGGCCGGGCCUUUCCUUCUGGGGAUCCUCAUGCCCUUCACUGGGUGUGCUGGGGAACCAGGACUUUUACUUUGAAAAAAUUAGAGUGUUCAAAGCAGGCCUUUGCUCGAAUACAUUAGCAUGGAAUAAUAGAAUAGGACGUGCGGUCCUAUUUUGUUGGUUUCUAGGACCGCCGUAAUGAUUAAUAGGGAUAGUCGGGGGCAUCAGUAUUCAAUUGUCAGAGGUGAAAUUCUUGGAUUUAUUGAAGACUAACUACUGCGAAAGCAUUUGCCAAGGAUGUUUUCAUUAAUCAGUGAACGAAAGUUAGGGGAUCGAAGACGAUCAGAUACCGUCGUAGUCUUAACCGUAAACUAUGCCGACUAGGGAUCGGGCGAUGUUAUUCUUUUGACUCGCUCGGCACCUUACGAGAAAUCAAA